UUUGGAAUUAGAGCUGUUUCCAACCCCGAGAGUUCCCCGAAUUAGCUCGGCCAAAGCGAACUCGGGAUGCCCAGAACGAAAGCCAAGACAGGGUCACUGUCUUCCUGUUCUUGUUCUUGUUCUUGUUCUUUGUUGGUAUGCCGGAAGAGUCUGAAGCGCGGUCGAUUUUCUUGAUUACCGGGGGUCAAGAAACCGCAAGAAUUCAGGUCGGCUUUCACGUGUGGGUGCUGCGUGCUGAUCCAUGCCCUGCAAAGACAAGAUGGUGCAAGUCAGAACCCAUAUCCUCCCCAAUUAAUAUAUUCUUUUCCGAGUUAUCAGUUUGAUUGGUGUUCUUCUAUUUUAGCGCAGCGUUUUUGUCCUGUCAUCCUGUUUUGGCGCACGGUCAAUUUGUUCGUGUAUUUGGAGUUGGCUCGUUGUCUGAAGGCAAAAUUUGAUGAAUUUAAAGGGUGGGCACCGAGUGACUAAAUUCAGUGGAUCUUGGAGCAUCGGCCAUUCAGCUUUCUUGGGUUAACAUGGUCAGUAGGGCUUUGUGAGGGCAGUUUCAAGAAGAGCCAAAGGAUUCCAUUCUCACUCGGCCUUUAUCCCCUCAUUUGUGGCGUUUCUUACUUCUUCUUCUUCUUUUUUACUUUGGAUUGGGAAUCUAAUGAUUAGAACCGUCUGUGAUAUCUGUAGCUUUUUUCUCUCUUCCUUUCCCAUUGCUUGAUGGGUUUAGUAAGAGAAAGUCGGGUUGCCUUGAUGAUAGUGGGAUUCACUCUUUCGACUUUAAGAUCGAUUCCUGGGUCCGAUGGAGCCAGUUGGCGAUAAAGGUUUGCUUAUACGCUGUUGAUUCUAGCUUUUCAUUUCGGUUUCUGGCGGAAUUUUCUCUUUCUCUGUUUAUUCUAUAUCCGGAACAUGCGGUUUGAGGACAUGUUGGCGGGGUUUAGCGUGGUGGUUUUGCUAGUAUCUUGAGUGAAUUGAUCGCGAGUAUAGAAGGAAGAUAGUGGGAGGAACAGGGGGAGUUAGAAAUGUCGUCCAAAUCCACGAACAAGACCAACUGCUCUCCAAGCAGCUCGGCUCGAUCGAGGCGUGGGGCUCGUGCCGUUGCUCAGACCCCCAUUGACGCGAAGCUUCAUGUCGACUUUGAAGAAUCCGAACGGUUGUUUGAUUACUCCACUUCGGUUGACUUCAACAUCUCGAGCUCCACUGGAAACGUCCGUUCAUCGACCAUCUCGGCGUAUCUUCAGAAAAUGCAGAGGGGGCAGCUGAUCCAACCCUUUGGUUGCAUGAUCGCUGUGGAGGAACAAAAUCUCACCGUUCUCGCCUACAGCGAAAAUGCCCCGGAAAUGUUGGACUUGGCCCCACAUGCGGUGCCAAACAUUGAGCAGCAAGAAGCCCUUACUUUCGGCUUGGAUGUCCGAACUCUAUUUCGGUCCUCGGGUGCGGCUGCCUUGCAGAAAGCCGCAAAUUUUGGGGAAGUUAAUCUUCUCAAUCCCAUAUUAGUACACUGUAGAACUUCGGGCAAGCCCUUUUAUGCAAUUCUUCACCGAAUUGAUGUGGGCUUAGUCAUAGAUUUAGAGCCGGUGAAUCCAGCUGAUGUUCCUGUGACUGCUGCUGGAGCCUUAAAGUCUUAUAAGCUUGCAGCGAAAGCCAUCUCCAGAUUGCAAUCUUUGCCGAGCGGUAAUAUAUCUUUGUUAUGUGACGUACUCGUUAAGGAAGUCAGUGAAUUGACUGGUUAUGAUCGUGUCAUGGUGUAUAAAUUUCAUGAGGAUGAGCAUGGGGAAGUUAUUGCCGAGUGUCGUCGGCCCGAUCUAGAACCUUACCUUGGGUUGCAUUAUCCAGCUACUGAUAUUCCACAGGCAUCAAGGUUCCUCUUCAUGAAGAAUAAGGUCAGGAUGAUAUGUGACUGUUCGGCUUCACCAGUUAAAGUAAUCCAAGACAAGCGAUUGGCUCAGCCACUAAGUCUUUCCGGUUCCUCUUUGAGAUCUCCUCACGGGUGUCAUGCUCAGUACAUGGCAAACAUGGGUUCAGUUGCUUCUCUUGUUAUGUCUGUUACCAUUAAUGAGGAUGAUGAGGACAUGGAAAGCAACCAACAGAAAGGGAGAAAGUUAUGGGGUUUAGUAGUUUGCCAUCACACAAUUCCCAGGUUCGUUCCAUUCCCUUUGAGGUACGCUUGUGAAUUCUUGAUUCAAGUUUUCGGUGUACAAAUAAACAAGGAAGUUGAGUUGGCAGCUCAGUCGAGGGAGAAGCAUAUCUUGAGAACGCAGACUGUUCUGUGUGACAUGCUCCUUAGAGGUGCUCCUCUAGGUAUUGUCACUCAAUCGCCAAAUGUUAUGGAUCUCGUGAAGUGUGAUGGGGCUGCUCUCUACUACCAGCAGAAAUUUUGGCUGCUCGGGGUCACUCCUACAGAGGCACAGAUUAAAGAACUAACAGAUUGGCUUCUCAAAUAUCAUAGUGGGAGUACUGGCUUAAGUACCGAUAGCCUUAUGGAAGCUGGUUAUCCUGGAGCUUCGGUCCUCGGUGAGACAGUUUGUGGGAUGGCGGCCAUUAAGAUUACUUCAAAGGACUUCCUUUUUUGGUUCCGCUCCCACACUGCAAAAGAGAUCAAAUGGGGUGGCGCGAAACAUGAUCCUGGUGACAGAGAUGAUGGUAGACUCAUGCACCCCAGGUCGUCGUUCAAUGCAUUUUUGGAGGUUGUUAAGCGCAGGAGCGUACCGUGGGAGGAUGUCGAAAUGGAUGCUAUCCAUUCCCUGCAGCUGAUAUUGAGGGAAUCUUUGCACGAUGAAAUGAUUGAAGAUUCCAAGGUUCUUGUAAAUGUUCCUUCAGCUGAGAACAGGACCAUCGAUGAUGAUGGGAUACAAAAGGUGGACGAGCUGCGUUUUGUCACAAAUGAGAUGGUACGCCUCAUUGAGACUGCUGCUGUCCCUAUCCUGGCUGUUGAUGCAUCUGGUAAUGUCAAUGGGUGGAACAACAAGGUCGCUGAUAUCACAGGUUUUUCGGUCCAGCAUGCAAUCAACAUGCCUUUAGUUGAUCUAGUUGCAGAUGACUCGGUAGAUGGAGUGCGGAAGAUGCUCUCGUCGGCCUUGCAGGGUGUCGAAGAGCAGAAUGUUGAAAUCAAGCUUAAAAAGAACAGCUUUCAAGAUGACAAAAGUCCUGUGGUAUUGGUAGUUAAUGCAUGCUGUAGCCGUGAUGCAAAGGAAAACGUUGUGGGAAUAUGCUUCGUUGGACAGGACAUUACUGGACAAAAGAUGAUUAUGGACAAAUAUACCCGCAUCCAAGGUGAUUAUGUUGGAAUUGUGCGGAAUCCAUCUGCACUUAUUCCUCCAAUUUUUUUGACCGAUGAGUAUGGACGGUGCUUGGAAUGGAACGAUGCAAUGCAAAGACUCUCCGGUUUGAAGAGGGAAGAAGUCAUUGACAGAAUGCUACUGGGCGAGGUUUUCACAGUUUCCAAUUUUGGUUGCCGUCUAAAAGAUCACGACACUUUAACCAAACUCAGGAUCUUGUUGAAUGGUGUAAUUGCAGGACAGGAUGGGGAUAAACUUCUGUUUGGGUUCUUUGAUCAACAUGGUAGGUAUAUCGAGGCAUUAAUUUCUGCAAACAAAAGAACAGACACCGAGGGAAAGAUCACUGGGGUGUUGUGCUUUCUGCACAUUGCCAGUCCAGAACUUCAGUAUGCCAUGCAGGUUCAGAGGAUGUCAGAGCAAGCUGCCGCUGAUAGCCUUAAGAAAUUGGCUUAUAUCCGCCAAGAGAUCAGAAAACCACUCAAUGGGAUAAUAUGCGUGCAAAAUCUGAUGGGGGCCUCUGAUUUAAGCAAUGAGCAGAGUGAACUUUUGAAGACGAGUACUUUGUGUCGGGAGCAAUUAGAGAAGAUUGUUAACGACACUGACAUUCAAAGCAUAGAAGACUGUUACGGGGAACUGAACAUGGGCGAGUUCAACCUUGAGCAAACGCUACGAGUUGUCAUAAAUCAAGCAAUGAUUCUAAGCCAGGAACGUGCGGUACAGGUCGUUCUUGAUUUGCCUGUUGAAGUGUCGACCGUGCAUUUAUAUGGUGAUAAGUUGAGAUUGCAGCAAGUUCUUUCCAAUUUUCUGACUAAUGUGAUCCUUUUCACCCCCAACAAUGAAGCAUCAUCUGUUAUGCUGAGGGCAAUUCCAAGAAAGGAGCGGAUAGGGAUGAAGAUGCACAUUGUCCACCUUGAAUUUCGGAUUACACAUCCAGCACCUGGAAUUCCAGAGAAAUUGAUUCACGAGAUGUUUCACCACGGCCAAGGCGUGUCGAGGGAAGGCCUUGGAUUGUACAUCAGCCAGAAGCUCAUAAAGAUAAUGAACGGAAGUGUGCAGUAUCUUAGGGAGGCAGAGAGGUCGUCCUUCAUUAUACUCGUAGAAUUUCCACUCGUUGAUCACUCCGGUCAAUGAAGUUUCUUUCAGAAGGCUGUUUAAGAAGACGAGCUCCUGUAGCCCCUCUCUUCCACAAGAAUGGGUUCAGGCUCACAACAUCUCAUGAGUGCUUUUCUCGGUGUAUGUGCAUGCGGAAUUUCGAGUGACGGGUUGCAACAAUAAACACGGUCCUCAAUUUUUAAAGCAGAGUCAAUUUUCAAACCAGAAGUGGGGAAGAAUUUUUGUAUGGGUGGCUCUUAUCCGUCAAGUCAACAGUAGAAAAGUUUCUAAUGACCUGGGAAUCCCUCCAAGUCGUCUGUGGAUUGGCGUUUCGCCAUGCUGUGUUCGCUCAGUGAAAAUUCGGUGUGUGGAACUGUAUUGGGUUCAAUUAGCUGAUGGUGCAGAGCUUGUCGUGUGGGAUAAUAGAGUUCAAGGCAGCUGAUAACCAGUUCAGUUGGGAAGAAAAGGGAAUAAAGGUGAAGGUAUCGGGUUUCUAUUACCCGCUCUCAACAGUCCGAUGGAUCUAGUGGGCCUAACGUGGGAGUCACGUGAGUUGACAAUUAGCAUGCAUAGGUUUUUACCAAUUGGCUACUUUUAUACACUUCUAUUUUGUUAGCUGAAGAUGCCGGUGUUUCCCGCUUUACACUCCACUGUAAGAGACUAGGAAAUUGAUGAUCAGUCGAUCUCUUCAAGGAAAAUCAUCCAUUUCUAGAGAAGCAUUCUCUAGUAUCCAUUGUAUGCCAACAUAUGUAUGGAAAAAUACUGGAUAUAGAAUUAAGCAUUCACCUUUUUAUUUAAAUUUUUUUAAUUAUCCUUGUCCCGAGUUAAGGGAGAACAAUGCUUAAACUCAGAUGUUCCGAGCUUACAGUAUAGUCGCUCAUAGAAAGUAUCGUACUCAAUAGGUUUAUUUCGAGCUUUGUAUGUUAUUGUAUGUACCUAUUGGGCGUUCGAUGGAGAUAUUGUUUCCUGACA